GGAGUGCGGAGGGAUCAUUA
rnacentral:rRNA from 1 species